rnacentral:snRNA from 1 species
AUCGCUUCUCGGCCUUUUGGCUAAGAUCAAGUGUAGUAAAAGAAGAAAAAAGAAUCGGUAUUUUAGAAAAAUGCCAUCUCAGCCAAAAGACAUUUUGUCACAUUGGGCAAUUUUAAAUAAAGAAAAUGUUUGACGUUAGGAGCUUUUU